rnacentral:lncRNA from 1 species
UUGCAGUAGGUAGCUGAGGGAUGGUUGCUAAGGUAAUUAACUUAACCAAUUUAAGUUUUGAUGUGUUGAUGUUGGAGUUAGGUGUGAUUUUUGAAGUUCUUGUGACCAGCAGGUGUAGAAAAGAGAUUUUGGCAGCUCGGAAGGGGGGGCUGUGGCUUCAGGGCUUUAAUUCGAAGCUAAGGGAAGUACUACUAUAGCUGCAAGAAGGUAAUUGAGUGCUUAAAUGAAUAAUUGAUGCGAUAGAAGUUAUCGAUAUGAUGUAUGAAUGCUAAUUUUGGGAAUUUGUGUUCUUAGCGGCUGGAAUCUUCACUUUAAACUGAG